rnacentral:lncRNA from 1 species
GCAUAAUAGGAUUCUCAUGAGAACAUGCAGCAGAUGUUUAUUAAAGAUGUAAGUUCUAUGUUAAGAAAGAAUACUUUGCUUUAUUCAUUUAUUUGAUAAGCAGCUCAACUGCUCUGAGUGAAAUGAUUUUGUUAUAUAUUCACAAGUAACUCACACGUGUUUCUCAUUUUUCUCACAGAGUUCAGAAAUUUAAUAACCAAUACAGAUAUCAUAAAAGCCUGACUGUUGGUUUGUGGUCAACAGUGCAGUUUUCUUUGAGCAAAGAGGAAGAGAAAUGUGUCUGUGUGUGAUGGAGCGUGGCAAUCAAUACUAAGAUGUGCACCCAGUUUGUUGGGAAAAGUAAUGGGAUAUACAGGAAUAAUACAGAUUGAAGGAAGCACGGAAGAGCUGAAGGGAAGCCCCUAAGAUUCAGAGGCAAUCUCUCUUCUCCCUUGCCAGGUAAGAGGGACCCUGUAGGGAGCUCCCAGGCUAGCAGCUGGGAGGUUGGUUUGCUAAAUAUAGAACAAAAAUUAAAUGAUAAUUCCAUCAAAGAAAAUCUUUGCUCCUCCCAGGACCCUUACGUGCAAUUGCUGUGGGGUAGUUGGAAUGAAAGUUACUCUGAAGCAGUUUUACAGGGGUACAAAGCAAGAAAGCUGCAUGUUCUAUUACUUGUUUUCUUCUCCUGCCUGGCCAGCUUCCAGCCCUCCAGCUGAGGGGCAUUUCAGGGUUUAAAACCCAUUUCCCAGCCAUGCUGGUGUGGGAGGGAGCAACUGGCCCAGUUUCCCUAAAAUGAAAGUCACUGAAAAUGCCAUUCUCCAUGCAAUCCCAAGAGCAGACGUGAGGAGCAAAAGAGUCAGUAGGAAAUCUCACUUAUUUGUGUGAUUGUAUGUCCAAUUUGUCACCCCCAGCAUGCUGCAGUGUGAUGGAUAUGCAUCUAAACCAUGGGAAAACCUGAAGCAAGGAAGCACUCCUAUCACUGAUGAAGAUGCAUCAUCACUGGGCUUGGUUCAAAAACCAUUAAAGCUUCUGAGUGGUUCCAGUGGGAAUGAGAACAACCCUUUUUCAGAAGAAAUAGAGAGAUACUGCUGGAAAUGGAGGAAAACGUACAGUGAAAUACUAAGCAAGAAAGAGGACAUUUGACUCAAAUGUAACCUUUGGAGAACGGUGAGUAUGGAGGAAAGAGGUAAGCUGUGUAAGCCUAAUGCAAGCACUAAGUCAUCUGUGCUCCAUCUUACUGCCAAUUAUUGCAGAAAUGAAAAAGAAUAUGCUUUUGGAUGUUAUGGAAUAGAAAUACUGCCUAUUUUAGUGUUUGAAAUAAACACAUUUUCCUUUGCUUUCCUAUAUGAAGCCAUGGCUAUUUAUAAUAGGAAUCAUUUGUGGUUAUUGUAAUAGCAUUCCUCCUUGCCAUGUCCUGACUGGAUGAAAUACUUCUUGGUUUAGUAUUAAUCCACAUUGUCUCAAAGAAUAACUUCAGAAGGUAGGAAAAAAAUGGAAGCCCCAUGUUAAACUAGUAACCACAUUGAAAAAGCAUUUGGUUUAUCAGACUCCUGCUGUGCCUGUUAUGUUCAGAUUUUGAGGCAGCCAAGUGAAGUGAUGUAAAGCGUGGAACAUACAAGCCUUAAUGAUGGCUUUGGCUCUGUAUUCCCCAUAUUUACAGUAACAAAAACAAACAAAAAAAAACAGCAAAAACCUCUCCACAUUUUAAAAGCAAAAUAUGACCUCAGGAAAUAGAAGGUUUAUAUUCCUGCCAAUUCCUAUUGUAGCUUCCCAGGGUGGUGUUAAACCCAUUAUCAGUCAUCAUGGACAAAAUCAGCACUUCCACCUUUCAAUGCCAUUUGAUUAAACAUAUGCAGUGAAUGAUAGGCUUGAAGUAAAAAAUAGGUACUCUGCACUUCUGUCCACAUGUACAUGGAGCCCAUUGGGAUGAAAGGCUCAACCUAAACUUCCCACAUCAUUACUCAUGCAGGAUUGCUCCAUAAAGCUGAUUUUCCUUUGCUUCUUUGAAAGCCCCUCUAAUUGUGGCUUCUACUUUUUUCUUCUUAGUUCUACAGAGCAAAAAGAAAAAGACAAAUGAUGUUGAAAAAAUGAUAAUAUUCUAAAUUUCCCAACAGUGUUGUGAGUUUUGUGAGAGAAAUAAAGCAGGAAAAUGUCAGUAUCAUUUGUGAUUGGAAUAGCUACAUAUGGAGCGGUGUCUGUCAGCACUUCUUGUUUAUAUGGAUUUUAUCAUGUCACCAUUUUCUAGUUGCAUUUGUUGGAAAAAGUGAUCCAGUGUAUAGUCUUUUUAUUGUUUUUUUUUAGAAGGAAGACAUUAUGUAGUAGACAAUGUUGACAUUAUCUAGUAGAUAAUGUUCUACUCUCCAUCACUAGAAAUAUUCCAUUGCUAAAUUUUAUUUCUAAAUCCUCUAAUGAGAGAGAGAUUUAAAAUAAAGUUAUCGUCUGUGCUGGCUGUCAGGAGGAAGAGGAUUACAAACAAGGGCACCCAGGUGCAAUAGUAGCACAGGUAUCUGAGGAAACCACUCAAAAUGUCUCCUUGGGAUCCAAUGCCUAUAGUUCUAAUGCCAGUGGUGUUUUCUAAACCAGUGCUGCCAUGCUUUGAUGUUACUUCUAUGUGCAGGUAUGUUAUUUAUACAUUCAUGCCAAUCAUGUUACUGCUCUUAAUGGUGUAUAAGUGCAAUGCCAGCUGAACUAAUUAACUAUUUGUGAAGACUGGUGGCCUUCAGUCCCAACCAGGAAUCCCAGCUCUCUGCAGCCUGGGGCACGUGCACAGCUGGGACAGAAAAAUAAGUUUGGGAACUCAAGAUUUUGGACAGCAGUUGGCACGACAGCCUGGCAGGGACACCAUAUCCUGAAGCUCACAUGUGGGAUUUGCAGCAGGCUUCAAUCAGACUGAGAAAUGAGUGUCAAUGUAAGUGCUUUCUUGAGAGAAAUCAAAGCCUGGUGGAGGUGUUGGUUCCUACCCAGUCUUUGAGGUAGGCAAGAAAUGUCCUGUUACCACCUGACAUGUAGAUACAUCGAAGUGCACUUACACUUGUACUUUAAAGACUGUAAGCCAGAGUGGUACAAAGAAGUCCAAGCUUCAGAGAAUUAAGCCCUGAGGCACAAAGGCCAGAUCUGUACUUGAAAAAGCUCCUUUGUGUUGCUGUGCUGGCAAACUCUCCUAGAAGGAGUGAAGCAUAGGUAAUACCACACAGAGGAGCAAGAGAGUUUUAAAAUAGGUAUUUGUACACCAGGACUUACGUGGAUAAAAGAGAGGCUGCAUAAAAGCUGUUUGGUCACUGAAUAACGUUGCUGCACAGGCAAAAAUUUCCGAAUGGCCAAGCAGAGGCAGGUCUGAGCAGAUCAAGCUCCAUCCAGCUCUGGGAGCCAGGCUGAGACCUCACUGCAAGGCAUGGAGAUGCUGCAGAGGACCCUCUCGACUGCAGUGUGAUGGUGACAUCUGCUCUGGAGAAGAUUUUGAGUUUAUUACUGUUGCACUGCUUUUUCUCUUCUCCCAGGAGUCCUCUGCUGAAUAUUCCCCUCUGAUUCCUUUUCCACUGUUUCUGUAUUCCAAAUGGCUGUCUUUCAAACUUGUCCAAUGAGGGAAGGUUCAAAGUCAUUCUGCUGAUGUAGAACCAGCAAGCUAUUCUGUAUAACCUCGUGGUUGUGCCUCCUUACACAGCUGGAAUGCCAGGCAGUUAGUUCUUCAGAGCUGAAGCUGUUUCGAAGGGUAGGUUUUGAGAGGAAAGGGAAGUGACUAAGGAUAUUUCCUUUUGACUGUGCAAGUUCCUGUCUGCUUUUCAGAAUUACAAUUCAGCAGAAACAAAGGAGAAACCAUGCUGGUGACAAACAAGCCCAGAGUGUUUGGCUGCUUGUUUUAUGCAGAGCUCAGAGCUUUUGGUUUUGUGCCUGCAGAGUCACCAUAUUUUAAAAAUGGUAAUUUCUGAGACCCAUCUAAAAGGCUAAUU